UGUCAAGUUUGAAUCUCAGCUUCCCUGCUUCAGAGGGCUCAAGUGCUUGGGCUCUGGCCAGGCACAGCACUGGAUGUUGUGCGAAUUUAGGAAGUAAACCAGAGUAUAGAACAUAACUCUCUUCUUCCUGUCAUUCUGCUUUGCAGAUGAAUAAAUAGAUAAAUCAGGAAAGACAAUGCAUAUUUCUGAUCAACUUCUUCUUUAAAAACCUGCAUAAGCAGAAGACAUUUGCAGAGACAACCAAGUUAUUACUCAGUAUCUGCAUGGAUGUAAUGAACAAUACCAUCGCAUAAAGAAUGAGGUAGAAAACACUGAAAUUCCUUAGUGUAUUGACUGUCAGUAGCUACCACAAGUGACUUUCUUCCUGUUACCUUUGUGUACUUUCAAAAAUUUCCAUAAACAUAACUACAAUUCUAUAAAAAAGAAAAAAAUACCUGCAGCCAUUUCCUGUUGUUUUUGUUUUUCAACCAUUUCCUUUUCUCGCUGUUCUUGUAAUUUCUUUGCCCUUUCCAACCUGUCAAAGACAAAUUAAAUAAAUUUAAAAUAAAAUACAUAUAUCUUUAACUAGAGACAAAAUACAUUAUGAUUUAAAGUUAGCUUAACACCCCUUCCUCCAACUGAUAGAGAAAAAAAGUUAAUUACUAGACUUAAGCAUUUUUGAAUGAAUUAAAAAAAUAAUUUUUAUAUAUAGUAGUCAAAGAAAGUGGUUAACAGUUUAAAACUCCACCAUUCUCCAUAAUCUAUUGAAUA